GGCCGGCGUGACGAGGAUUGGAUACUCAACAACUACGAAGUAUUCGGCGCUCUCAAAGUAGAGGAGCCAAACGAUGCGCGACGUUAUAAUUGAAGAGCGAACGGGGGUCGAAGGGGCUGUGUCACCUCUUACAAAAGUUAUCUGUCCACUAUCCGAUUCCGUUUACGAGCCAUCGAGAGGACCGACCUCCUUCGGCAGCUCCUACUUCCCGCUUCGGUGCUGCGCAAGAUGAACGGAGGUCCUAUUUCCGGCCGAUAUUUAAAUCCGACGGCGACCGAAUCCGCUCGACCUUAACCGAAGCGUUCGGUCCGGCUGUCACAUUCGCGGCGUGCCGAAUGUCCGUCUCUCUCUUGUGGCGGCGGCAGCGGCGGCGUAACGCGUUAAUGAAAAUGGCAACGCGCCGCGACGCCAUGCGGCAGCUUCGACGGAGUACGCGCGCCAGUAAAUUGCGUCGCUUUAUCAAUCUGAAAUAACACCGGCGCGGGAUACACAAUGAGCGACAAUGCGAGGGACUUACGAGCGCCUCGCAGACCAACGAAAGGACCACCACGUUGCGAUAGAUGCGUCGGUCCAUGUGCCGGAUGAUGCUGCAGUCAAAAGACUUUGCAGAAUAUCUUGAUGUGCAAUAUAUUUUCAAUUUGCAAGCAGAGGAUAGCGAAAGCUUUAAUACAUAAAGCAAAUGAUUUAGCGCAUACAGCAACUUAAAAUAUGCACAAGAAAGUAUAUUUUCAAGAUUAUAGCAGUCAUGAGCUGGUGUAUGUGAUCAACCUAAUAUUUAUUACUGAGAAGAUAAUGAUCUUCAGCAUUGGUACACAAAGAAAUACAAAGGAAACCUUCAAGAUAGCCCAAGAAACGAGAUAUUUAUGGAAGAAACUUGGUGCAUUUAUUCCUGUCUUAAAGAUACUGCAAAACUGCAUUAAUAAACAAACAUUAUGAUAAAAAGAAAUGAAUUUACUCAGGCCAUAUUAAUAUUUUGUUUAUACUGAUUCACCUCUAUUCGCCUAUUUGACUUUAUAAACACACACAAACACACACAUAUGUAUCUUUUCUCUGUAAUUCACUUAUAGUUAAGAUAGAUGAUUUAAUGUAUAUAUACUUAUGUUUGGUAGUUCAUAAUUCCUGAAUUAAAAUUUCUUUAAUAUGUAUCUGAAUGUGACUCAAAAUAGAAACAGAAAAAAACAUUGCUUCUCCUAAUAA
rnacentral:lncRNA from 1 species